rnacentral:rRNA from 1 species
AGAUUGCAGGCUGCAACUCGCCUGCAUGAAGUUGGAAUUGCUAGUAAUCGCGGAUCAGCAUGCCGCGGUGAAUACGUUCCCGGGCCUUGUACACACCGCCCGUCACACCAUGAGAGUUGGGAAUACCCGAAGCCUGUGGCCCAACCGAAAGGAAGGAGCAGCCGAAGGCAGGCCCGGUGACUGGGGUGAAGUCGUAACAAGGUAAC